UAAUAUCUGCACAUGCGCAGAUGUACAGCACAUUCAAAGCUCACUCUUCAGCGAUCGGUGCCAUUUUUGAAUCAGAUGAAGAUCACAGUGCCAAACGAGGAACGUUUUCUUUGUGGAAACACAGAGUUUUAUAGUCCUACAUGUGGCUGUGCAGAGAUUGUGGUUCCUCUCACACAUCCAGAUCAAAUCCAGCACUCUUUAUAGAGCAAGAGGUAUCUGUGAAAUUCAGUUGGAUUACAACAAUCCCUUUGGUCUCCAAAUAUAUGGGACUGCUUGAUAAUUUCUCAAACCAAAGAAAGGAGCAGCAGCAGCACAGAAGAUCACAAACAUCCUGUCAGUUAUG